GAUGAACGCUGGCGGCGUGCCUAAUACAUGCAAGUCGAACGGGAGGCUUUACGCAAGUGGAGCCGAGAGUGGCGGACGGGUGAGUAACACAUGGCUGACCUGCCCUUCAGCAGGGGACAACCAGUGGAAACGCUGGCUAAUACCCUGUACGUUCAUGGGGUUCAGAAGCCCAUGAAGAAAGCGACUAGCGCUGAAGGAGGGGGCUGUGGCCCAUCAGCUGGUUGGUAGGGUAACGGCCUACCAAGGCGAGGACGGGUAGGGGGCCUGAGAGGGUGACCCCCCACACGGGUACUGAGAAACGGACCCGACUCCUACGGGAGGCAG
rnacentral:rRNA from 1 species